CCCUGUAUUCGAAAGUGAUCGUGGGCUGCCUGUGUCCCGGUCAUUGGUAGUGCAGGGAGAGGAAUGGCUGAAAGACACUCUACCUGUAGAGUUUGGAGGGUUCCCUAUCCCUUCUGAACUCUGAAACUUUUCCACA
ensembl:snoRNA SNORA71 Small nucleolar RNA SNORA71